rnacentral:rRNA from 1 species
CAGUCGCCGCGGUAAUACAGAGGGUGCGAGCGUUAAUCGGAUUUACUGGGCGUAAAGCGUGCGUAGGCGGCUUCUUAAGUCGGAUGUGAAAUCCCUGAGCUUAACUUAGGAAUUGCAUUCGAUACUGGGAAGCUAGAGUAUGGGAGAGGAUGGUAGAAUUCCAGGUGUAGCGGUGAAAUGCGUAGAGAUCUGGAGGAAUACCGAUGGCGAAGGCAGCCAUCUGGCCUAAUACUGACGCUGAGGUACGAAAGCAUGGGGAGCAAACAGGAUUAGAUACCCGAGUAGUCCCUGUCUCUAUACA